GCUUUAUAGUGGAAAAAAGACGUCAAAUUGCAAAUUUGAAAAUGUAUAAAUUACUAAAGCUUA
rnacentral:tRNA from 1 species